rnacentral:rRNA from 1 species
UUAUUUUUUAAUAAUUAAUUUUUAUAUAAUUUUUAUAUAAUUAAUAUUUUAGUUAUUUAUAGGAAUAAAUAUUAUAAUAUAAUAAUAUUUUAAUAAUGAUAAAAUAAGUAUUUUAUAUAUAUAAAAUAUAGUAACUCGGCAAAUAUUAUUUUCGCCUGUUUAACAAAAACAUGGUCUUUUGUUUAUAUAAAAGAUCUAACCUGCCCUAUGAUUUAUUUAAAUGGCUGCAGUAUUUUGACUGUACAAAGGUAGCAUAAUCAUUUGUCUUUUAAUUGAAGGCUUGUAUGAAUGGUUGGAUGAAAAAUAUACUUUCUUUAUUUUAUAUAAAAAAUUUAAUUUUCUAGUCAAAAAGCUAGGAUUUUUUUAUAGGACGAGAAGACCCUAUAGAACUUUAUUUUCUUUUUUUAUAAACUUUAUAGAUAAAUAUAAGUUUAUAUAUUUUUGUUAAUUUUGUUGGGGUGAUUGAAAAAAUUUUUUAACUUUUUCUAUUUUUUACAUUUAUAUAUGUUUUUUUGAUCCUUUAUUAUGGAAUAAAAGAUUAAGUUACCUUAGGGAUAACAGCGUUAUUUUUUUGGAGAGUUCUUAUCGAUAAAAAAGUUUGCGACCUCGAUGUUGG